rnacentral:rRNA from 1 species
GACGAAUGCUGGCUGCGUGCUUAACACAUGCAAGUCGAACGGUGAAGGGGAGCUUGCUCCCCGGAUCAGUGGCGAACGGGUGAGUAACACGUGGGCAACCUGCCCCUCACUCUGGGAUAACUCCGGGAAACCGGGGCUAAUACCGGAUACGACCGGGAGCGACAUCGCUCCUGGUGGAAAGAACUUCGGUGAGGGAUGGGCCCGCGGCCUAUCAGCUAGUUGGUGGGGUAACGGCCAGCCAAGGCGACGACGGGUAGCCGGCCUGAGAGGGGGGCCGGGCACACUGGGACUGAGACACGGCCCAGACUCCUACGGGAGGCAGCAGUGGGGAAUAUUGCGCAAUGGGCGAAAGGCUGACGCAGCGACGCAGCGUGAGGGACGAAGGCCUUCGGGUUGUAAACCUCUUUCAGCGGGGACGAAGCGAAAGUGACGGUACCCGCAGAAGAAGCACCGGCUAACUACGUGCCAGCCGCCGCGGUAA